UCAUGCGAUAGUUCAAAUCUCUAUCAUGAUGAUUGUAACGCUAUCAUUAAAUGAUGAAAACAAUCAGAAGCAACGCUCAUUUUAACAAACAGAGAAGUUCAUUUAGAAAAUUUUAAUAAUUUAUUUGUUACGCAGCCUCAAUUAUGGAACGAAUUCGUCGACUAUGGUUGUACAGAAAGUCGUCUAAGGACGCUAUUUGCAUUUUCAGCGGUUCUUUUGAAUCAAUAAAACGUGGAAGAAGGAUCACGUAAAAAAACGUUUUUUGCCUACAUAAUUGGAAGAAAAAAAGUUGUUUACCUUUUCCGACAACCAGCGAAAUGGG